UACGUAGGGGGCGAGCGUUAUCCGGAGUUACUGGGCGUAAAGCGCGCGCAGGCGGUCAUCUACGUCUGGGGUGAAAGCCCGGAGCUCAACUCCGGGAUUGCCUUGGAUACGGGAUGACUUGAGGAUCGGAGAGGCAAGGGGAAUUCCACGUGUAGCGGUGAAAUGCGUAGAGAUGUGGAGGAACACCUGUGGCGAAGGCGCCUUGCUGGCCGAUUUCUGACGCUGAGGCGCGAAAGCGUGGGGAGCAAACAGG
rnacentral:rRNA from 1 species